UGGUUCUCGCAUCGAUGAAGAACGCAGCGAAUUGCGAUAUGUAAUGUGAAUUGCAGAAUUCAGUGAAUCAUCAAAUCUUUGAACGCACCUUGCGCCCUUUGGUAUUCCGAAGGGCAUGCCUGUUUGAGUGUCAUUAAAUCCUCAACUUCAAAAUGUUUUGAAGCUUGGACUGUGGAGGUCUUGCCGGCAGAAAUGCCAGCUCCUCUUAAAUGCAUUAGCGGAACUUUUUCCAUUAAUAAUGGACCAGCUUUGGUUUGAUAAUCUUAUCUAUGCCGUCGCUGUGGACAUUUAGUUCAGCUUCUAAUUGUCUUUGGACUGUCUCGUUUAUGAGGCAUAUACUUUUAAGCUUGACCUCAAAUCAGGUAAGACCACCCGCUGA
rnacentral:misc_RNA from 1 species